CUGAAACAUUAACUCUAGUUCUCUCUCCAUUGAUGCUGUCAGACUUGCUUUGUGUUUGCAGCACUUCCUGUUAUUAUCCCUCACUUGGGUACUUCUUAUUAGCACAGUGUUGUUCUGUAUGGACAUUCAUGAAGCAGUAUUAGAUACUCCUCAGAAGAGAUUACGUGAGAACCCUACCUUAAAUUGCAAGUUCCAGAAGAGAAGGAUACAUGCUGUAUGGAUGUAGCUCAGGUGAUCAAAGGGACCGCAUUUCUAGAUUGCCUGCAUCGUCUACUGGGCAAGACAUCUGUACGUUAUGUGGCAGGGUUUGGCAAUCCAUUCGGUGGCAUCUGAAGAUGAAUGGUGUCAGCACCUCCUAUAUGAGUCGGUUAUGUGAUGAACAGAUUGCAGAAGGGCGAUCCUUCAAUUUUCUAUUUGCGAAGGAGAAGAUUGCACCUGCCAUGUGUUUUCCAAAGGUUUUGGGAGCAGCAAAGUGACUCGGACAUUUUCUGCCUGCGGUCUUCAAUUAAGUACUGGUUUGGGGAUCACAGGCCAUUUGGUUUUCACAUUACCAAUCACUAAUGUUGUUUAUCAAGCUGUAGUAAUCUGGCUUUAUAAGUCAGGUUACGGUAGCAUAGUGAUUAGCGUAACGCUAUUACAGUACCAGCGACCUGGGUUCAAUUCCCGCUGCUGCCUAUAAGGAGUUUGUACGUUCUCCCCAUGUCUGCGUGUGUUUCCUCCGGGUGCUCUGGUUUCCUCCCACGUUCCAAAGACGUACGGGUUAGAAGCUGUGGGCAUGCUAUGUUGGCGCUUGAAGAGUGGUGAUUACUUGCGGGCUGCCCCCAGCACAUUCUUCGCAACGCAAAAAGGUGUAUUUCACUGAGUGUUUCGAUGUACAUGUGACUAAUAAAUAAAUAUCUUAUAUCACCUGUUCACAAUCACAUGGAACAAAGACUUGAAAAUGAUGGCCCGAGAG